rnacentral:tRNA from 1 species
CCCUGGGUGGUUCAGUGGUUAGGACUUUACACUUUCACUGUUGAGGGCGUGGGUUCAAUCCCUACUCUGGGAA